GAUAGGGAGAGCAUGGACACGCCCCCUGAGCUGCAGCAGCAAAGACACUCCCCUUGAACUGUUAGCUUGAUAUAAAUCUAGCAGAGCAAUGAAUGGGGAGAUCUCUGGAUCCAUCUGAGGUAUAGGGCUGGUUCUAACGUUGUUAAAAAGAAGUUGUCAUGUACUAUAUGAGGUCUGAUUUCAAUUUUUUACUUUAGUCAUGGGAUAACUCCUUUAAGAGCAUCCAUGAAAGA